GAUGAACGCUAGCGGGAGGCCUAACACAUGCAAGCCGAGCGGUAUUUGUUCUUCGGAACAGAGAGAGCGGCGCACGGGUGCGGAACACGUGUGCAACCUGCCUUUAUCUGGGGGAUAGCCUUUCGAAAGGAAGAUUAAUACCCCAUAAUAUAUUGAGUGGCAUCAUUUGAUAUUGAAAACUCCGGUGGAUAGAGAUGGGCACGCGCAAGAUUAGAUAGUUGGUGAGAUAACGGCUCACCAAGUCAAUGAUCUUUAGGGGGCCUGAGAGGGUGAUCCCCCACACUGGUACUGAGACACGGACCAGACUCCUACGGGAGGCAGCAGUGAGGAAUAUUGGACAAUGGGUUAGCGCCUGAUCCAGCCAUCCCGCGUGAAGGACGACGGCCCUAUGGGUUGUAAACUUCUUUUGUAUAGGGAUAAACCUACUCUCGUGAGAGUAGCUGAAGGUACUAUACGAAUAAGCACCGGCUAACUCCGUG
rnacentral:rRNA from 1 species